rnacentral:rRNA from 1 species
UACGAAGGGGGCGAGCGUUGUUCGGAUUUACUGGGCGUAAAGCGCGCGCAGGCGGCCCGCGAGGUGUCCUGUGAAAGCCCCGUGCUCAACGCGGGAGGGUCAGGGCAAACCGGCGGGCUUGAGGCCGGUAGAGGUGGGUGGAACUCCUGGUGGAGUGGUGAAAUGCGUAGAGAUCAGGAAGAACACCCGUGGCGAAGGCGGCCCACUGGGCCGGACCUGACGCUGAGGCGCGAAGGCGUGGGGAGCGAACGGG